CAAAUGACUCUCGGCAAUGGAUAUCUCGGCUCUUGCAUCGAUGAAGAACGUAGUGAAAUGCGAGAUACUUGGUGUGAAUUGCAGAAUCUCGGACCAUUGAGGCCUUCUGAACGCAAGUUGUGCCCGAGGCCUUCUGGCCAAGGGCACGCCUGCUUGGGCGU
rnacentral:rRNA from 1 species